CGCCGGCGGAGCCCCGGCUGUCCGGAGCUCUGAGGGAAAGGGAGGCGGGUGCCUGUGUCCUGAGGCGGCCUUUUCAGCUCAGGGACGGUGAGGCAGCAGUCAGCCCCCGGCGCUAAACGCGCUGCUGGAGGGGGAGUGCUUGCCUCUCCCCCCAUCCCCGUUUCUCUUCUCCUCAGCAGGCAGCAAAGGGAGGGGGGUCGUGCCCUGUGAGGAGGGCUGCGGCCAGCUCUCCGCCUCGGCUCCCCCCCUUAUCACCGGGUGGGCCGGCUGACUCACUGCUGUGGCGGGGAGAGAAACCUUUGAGAAGAAAUUUAAAUAGUCACCGGACCAGCAUAAGUAAGCUCUGUGCUGACUUUUCAAGCUUUGCCUGUUUUCUGAGGGAAAUACCACACUUCUCAAUUCCUGGGCAUUUCUGCAUGAAUGAUGCAACUGGAUUUGUUUGUUUGCAAAUCAGGACUAAAAAAUGAGAAAACGGCAUUCAAAAAGUGCAAAUUUUUGAACUUAAAAUUCAGAAAUUUUAUUCAUUUUUGGACAAAGAGUGAUUUGAAGACUGUCCGUGUACUUGUCUCUCUGCUCUGGAUUUUUGCAGUCAACCACCUAUCUGUUCUCUUUGCUCUGAGGCUUGUGUUGAGCAACCACUGUGUUUACCUGUGUGAUGUCUGCUUUUCCAGUUUUGGUUUUGGAGACUAGGUGUUCUCCUGAAGCCGCAAUUUCUCCUUUGAACUCCAGAGAAGCACCACCUUGAUUCCGAAGUAUUUCAGGCUGCUUAGGGUCCUAACUACAAGAUUAUCUUGAUGUUUUGGAUUGCAGCACUUUAUAUUGAAGAAUGAGUUGAACAGAGGUCCAGGGAGCUACGUGAUGUAGAACAACAUUUCUUGCUAGGUUAGAUAGUUAAAGGGAUGAACUGAAUAAGGUAGGAUAAUAGAAGAACAUGCAACGCUUUACGCUUGGAAAUCAAAGACUAAAUAACAUGUCUCCAUUCUAGUCAUUACCAGUAGGAGAUAGAAUUACAUCUCAGGGUUUCCAUGAGUUCUGUGUAUUCUGACCUAAGUAUCCACAGCAGUCUCCCCUGCCUGAGAACAGGGUCCGGCCUUCAUCUCUGGUAAAUAAUUCAGUAUAGCACUUCUGUGAAUAAGUAUUAUCGCGUACGUUUAAUAUAAUAGAUUCACGGAGUAAAAAUCACACUGUAAAUUCUUUCGUAAACAGUGACUUGCAUCAUAACUCUUGAGUUUCUUCAGUUGCAUGCAAAUUGCUGCUAAAUCAGAAUGAGAAGCACACAAUAUGGCUGCUGGUUUCAUAAGAAGGACCUGGCAGGGUUGGAAAUAAUAAUCAAAUUGCCUGAAAUCCGUUCAAAUCAGUUUAAUACUGAGGCAGUCCCCAUCAACUCAGCAUCUCUUUCGUCUUAUCUCCCACAGAUGUCAUUCCAAAUGAAGUUUCAGGUGCUGGAGGACAAGUUGAGGUCAGCUUAGUUUUUCUUGAUAUAAUAGUUUGAGUUCAUACUGCAUUUACUAUAAAUUGGACUGCAUAACUGUAACCCUUAGGUUCACACCCCCUCCCCUUUCAGUGCCACAGGAAAAUCCAGAUGUAUUGAAGCAAAUUACCAGAGGAAGUACUUGUGUGAAGACUUGUCACUGUUUUCUGGUGAUAGGGUUUUUUUAAGUGUUUUUUUUUCCUCUGGAAAUGUGACAUUGUAAUACUUCAAGUACAGGCAUCAGAGUUUACUUUGGGUAGUUGGAAAAACGGUAUUUUGCCAUUUAGAAGGUAAGUGAUCCAUUUUAAUAAACACACUCAUCAAUAAGGAAUAUUUUAUAUUAAAAAUUUAAUAAGGAAUAUUUUAUUUUAAUAAAUCAAGAAGGUAUAU